UUUCAUAAAAAUUGAACAGAU
rnacentral:piRNA from 1 species